UGAAAGCUAGUUAAUAUUCUAGCACCUACUAUGCAUUAAAAGUGACGCAAGGACGUGGUGGUUACGAACAGACGGAUGUUCGUUGAGUGGAACCUUCGGGGAAGCGAAAUCAUAAAAUCCUUGCCAAGAAAAGCGAGCAUAGCAGCCAGUACCGGAAUCCGACACAGGUAGACGGGAUGAGUAUUCUAAGGCGCUCGGGUGAGCCGCGGAGAAGGAACUAGGCAAAUUAAUGCUGUAACUUCGGGAUAAAGCAUACCGCAGUGAUGCGGUCACAGUAAAUAGGUACAACCAACUGUUUAACAAAAACACAGGGCCCUGCAAAAACGUAAGUUGACGUAUAGAGCCUGAAACCUGCCCGGUGCUGGAAGGUUAAGGAAGGGUGUUCGGCGCAAGCCAAAGCUCCUGACUGAAGCCCCAGUAAACGGCGGCCGUAACCAUAACGGUCCUAAGGUAGCGAAAUUCCUUGUCGGGUAAGUUCCGACCUGCACGAAUGGUCUAAUGAGUUGUACACUGUCUCCUCCGCGAGCCCGGUGAAAUUGUAGUAUCGGUGAAGAUGCCGGUUACCCGCCACGGGACGGAAAGACCCCGUGAACCUUCACUACAACUUUGCAUUGAUUCUGAACAACCGAUGUGUAGGAUAGUUGGGAGACUUUGAAGUAGCGUCGCCAGGCGUUAUGGAGUCAUCGUUGAAAUACCAACCUUCGUUUGUUUAGAACCUAAUCCCUAACGGGAGACAGUGCAUGGUGGGUAGUUUGACUGGGGUGGUCGCCUCCUAAAAAGUAACGGAGGCUCGCAAAGGUACCCUCAGUACGGUUGGUAAUCGUACGUAGAGCGCAUUAGUAUAAGGGUGCUUGACUGUGAGACAAACAAGUCGAGCAGGAGCGAAAGCUGGCUAAAGUGAUCCGGUGUUUCUGCAUGGAAGGGACAUCGCUCAAAGGAUAAAAGGUACUCCGGGAUAACAGGCUGAUCUUACCCAAGAGCUCAUAUCGACGGUAAGGCUUGGCACCUCGAUGUCGGUUCGUCACAUCCUGGGGCUGGAGAAGGUCCCAAGGGUUCGGCUGUUCGCCGAUUAAAGUGGCACGUGAACUGGGUUCAGAACGUCGCAAGACAGUUCGGUCCCUAUCUGUGGUGGGCGUUAGUAAAUUGAGUGGACAUGUUCUUAGUACGAGAGGACCGGAAUGUACGUACCGCUGGUGUAUCUGUUAUGCCGCCAGGUGUAAUGCAGAGUAGCUAUGUACGGCCAGGAUAAACGCUGAAAGCAUCUAAGCGUGAAACCUUCCACAAGAUGAGUUUACUUUUAAGGGUCGUCAGAGACUAUGACGUUGAUAGGCUACAGAUGUAAGGCUAGUAAUAGCGAAGUCGAGUAGUACUAAUUGCCCGUAAGCUUUAUC
rnacentral:rRNA from 1 species